rnacentral:lncRNA from 1 species
GGCGAAUAGCGAGACAACGUGUUGCUACCUACGAACUUUCUAUCUAAUUCGUGUCCUCCACUUCCUAUUCAAUGUAAUGUCCUCGGUAAGUUGAAACUACGUCAUGUUUUGUUUAAUCACUUCUCCUCAAUACUUCUUCGGCAUAUGUCUGACUAUCUCUCCUGAAAUCAUCCACAACCAAUCUCUCUCACUUCUGCAUUAAACCAUGCAUCUCCUCUUCACAUAUCUAUAUACCAUUUCAGCCUCACUUCAGUAGAACUCCCACCUUGUCAUAGAGAACAUGAAAUUUAAUAGGAGUAAUUUUCUUUAAAUAAAAUGGGAUCUUAAAUGUUACCAUAUAAUAUUGGGAAUAUUUAUGUGGCUAAAGACUUUAAAACUUGUAAUCUUACAAAUUGGAAUUACUUUCAAUUGCUUCAAGGAAUCAUCUUUUUUGCUAGUCCCAAUCAAGUUAAUAAUAUGCUUUUAAUGUAAUUAAGCAAACAAAAGGUAUAAGUAAAUCUUACUUUGAGGUUUCAAUAUUGAUGCCGCACUCACAUAAUCUUCAAUUUAACUCCGAAUGUAUUUGUUAUCAAGCUAUUUUUGAUGGACGGCGCUUCUAAUAAGAUUUUUUUUUUAAUUUUUAAAAAAUACAAAUGAAACCCUAUCAUAUUUCAUUCCAUCACGACCUAUGUUGGUCACAUUUACAUAAUCAUGAAAAAUGAAAAGAAUAAAGUUUUUCACCACUAAAAAAAGAAGAAAAUAUUCCUAAUUUUGUCCAUGUGAUGUAUUAAUGAAUAGAUUCUAGCUAUAUAAGAAUAUUUGUCUUAUCAAAUUUGGAAAUUAAAAAAAAAAAAAUUCUUUAUUAAAUUAUCUAUACUUCAUUUACAAAUUCUCUAUUUCAUAAAUAAAUGUACUUCACAAUAAACUUACAAAUCACAAUAAUUUGUCAAUUUAAGUACUAUACGAAAGUAUAAUUACAAAAUCUUUACAAAUUUUACAUUUUUUUUCCUUUAAAAACUUGCACACUUCUUUGCAAUGCCACUCUACUCCCAAGAAGAGCUACAAGAUCUCCCAACAAACCUCAUCUACUUUCUUGAAAAAUUGCGUAGACCGACAGAAUAAAUAAUUAUCCAUUUUAUUUAUAAUUCUUAAAAGACGUUGAAAGAGCUACAUGAUCUUUAACAUUCUUACACGCAUCAACACUCUUGAACCGCCGAUCCCUCACUCACACAAUUUUCAUUUUCUACGUCAGCUACAUCCAAACAAACCUCAUCUGCUUUCUUAAAAAAUUACGUGGACCGACAGAAUAGAUAAUUAUCCAUCUUAUUUAUGAUUUUUAAAGACAUUGGAAGAGCUACAUGAUCUCCUAAUAUUUCUACACGUGUCACACUUUUAAACCGUUGAUUCUUCACUCACACCAUUUUCAUUUUCUACACCAGCUACAUCCAAACAAACCUCAUCUACCUUCUUGAAAAAUUGCCUGGACCGACAGAAUAAAUAACUAUUCAUCUUAUUUAUAAUUUUUAAAAAACAUUGAAAGAGUUACAUGAUCUUCUAAUAUUCCUACACGUGUCACACGCUUGAACUGCCGAUCCCUCACUCGCACCAUUUUCAUUUUCUACAUCAACUACAUCCAAACAAAUCUCAUCCACCUUCUUGAGAAACUGUGUGGACCGACAGAAUAAAUAAUUAUCCAUCUUAUUUAUAAUUCUUAAAAGACGUUGAAAGAGCUACAUGAUCUUCUAACAUUCUUACACGCGUCAACAUUCUUGAAUCGCUGAUCCCUUACUCACACAAUUUCCGUUUUCUACGUCAACUCAGGGGUGGCUCAACGCUUUCGAAGAAAAGGCGGCCACCUAAGGCCCCCAAAAUUUGAAGGGCCUCAUUUUUUUUAGUAAUAAUAAAUUACAAAUUUUAAGAAAUAUAUUAAAUACUAUUUAUAGAUUUUUUUUUUAUAUAAAAAAAUUUAGGAGUUUGGUAUAGUAAAAACUUUUUAAUGCGUUGACUAUAUUAUUAAUUAAAAAAAAAUUAUUAAAUACGAUUAUAUAAUUUUAAAAAUAGACUUUCUAAAAAUAAUUAUUUUUUCUUAAAAAUGUAAGGCCUCCGUUUGAUUUUUGCCUUAGAUCACAGAUUUACUUGAGCCGCCCCUGCGUCAACUACAUCCAAACAAACCUCAUCUACUUUCUUAAAAAAUUACGUGGACUGACAGAAUAGAUAAUUAUUCAUCUUAGUUAUGAUUUUUAAAAAAAGUUGAAAGAGCUACAUGAUCUUCUAACAUUCUUACAAGUGUCACACUCCAAAACCGUAAGAUCCCUCACUCACGCCAUUCUCAUUUUCUACAUCAACUACAUGAAUAUAUUAUUAUUUAUAUACAUUAACCCAUUGAAAUGAAUGAUUGUUUUAUUUUCUAUUUCUUUUGCAUUUCUUGGGGAGGAUAAAUGGGGUGAUUCGGGUGAGAUCCAAUGUAGAUCGAACUUUCGAUUCGCUCGUGGGAUCCGAGCGGGGGGAGGGGGGGGGGCACCAUGGCUCCUCUCUUCUCGAGAAUUUAUACAUCCCUUAUUAGUGUAUGGACAGCUAUCUCACGAGCACAGGUUUAGGUUCAGCCUUAAUGGGAAAAUAAAAUGGAGCACCUAACAACGCACCUUCACAGAUCAAGAACUUCGAGAUCACCUCUUUCAUUCUGGGAUGACGGAGGGAUUGUACCAUUCAAGCCAUUUUUUUCUUGACUCGCUUUUCCUUCUUGUUGUUGGAUAUCUUGUUCGUGGCUAUAAUCAUCUUUCUGUUACAUCGCCUCCUUACCAUAUCUAUUGUAGUCCCACAAAAGGAGUUUGGAGAUAGUAAGUUUAUACGCAGAUUUUUCUCCUACCUUACAGACAGUAAACUGUUUUUGAUAAAUUCUUGACUUAGGAAAAAAUAGUUUAGAGUAGUCUAGAAAAAGAAGAAACCGAAGUGUAAGCAUAACAAAACUUUCUUAACAGUAACUAUAACAAAAUCAUACAGAAAUCGAAGAACAAGAAGUAAUAGAUAACAACACUAGGAGCACUAGUAUGGGCGAAUAACGAGUCAACGUAUUACUACUUACUAACUUUCUAUCUAAUUCGUGUCCUCCACUUCCAAGUCAAUGUAAUGUCCUCGAUAAGUUGAAACUACGUCAUGUGUUUUCUGAUCACCUCUCCGCAAUAAUUCUUUGGCAUAUAUCUACCUCUUCGGAAAUCAUCCACAGCUUCCGUAUUAAAACAUGCAUCUCCACUUCACAUAUCCAUACCAUUUCAGCCUCACUUCUAUCUUCUAUCGAAAUUACUCUCAUCUUGUCAUUGAGAACAUGAAAUUUAAUAUGAUUAACUUUCUCUAAAAAAAUUGAGAUUUUAAAUGUUACCAUGUAAUAUUGGGAAUAUUAAUGUGGCUAAAGACUUUAAAAGUUGUGAUUUUAAGAUUGAAUACAUUAAUAACCUCUUAAAUUUUUACUCUCAAUUUCUUGAAUUAUACAUUGCAUGUGUGCUUAGCAAAAUGAGACAAUUAACAAAUUGGAAUUUCUUUCAAUUGCUUCAAGGAAUUAUCUUUUUUGAUAGUCCUAAUCAAGUUUAUUAUAUGCUUUUAAUGUAAUUAAGCAAACAAAAGGUAUAAGUAAACCCUACUUUGAGGUUUCACUAUUGAUGCCACACUUACAUAAUCUUCAAUUUAACUCGAAAUUAAAAGGAGCAUAUGAUACGCUAAAACUUUCUAUGCGCGAAAUGCGAGAAGUUUGUUUUCAUGAAUUCAACCAUGACCGUCAAAUUACAUGACAUUAAUUUUACCAGAUACUCCAAGAUUUUCAUUCAACCAUCUUAGGUAAACUACUCUAAAGAAAUUUCACUUCAAAUAUCGAAAUUUCGUAAAAUUUGAAACUUCAUAACAGUAGCUUAGCUCGAUUAUGCUACUCUUAUAAAAAUAUCCAUGCAUCCCAAUUUAGUAAAAAAAAAAAAACCAUAGACCCCUCCACUUGCAAAUUCUCUAAUUCAUAAAUAUACUUCACAACAAAAUAACAAAUCACAAUAAUCUGUCAAUUUAAGUGCUAUACAAAAGUAUAAUUACAAAAAUCUUUAUAAAUUUUAUAUUUUUUUCCAUAAAAACUUACGCUUCUAUGCAAUGUUACUCAAUUCUCCAAGUUGGAAGAGCUACAUAAUCUCCUAAUAUCCUUACACAUGUCACACUUCAAAAUCAUCGAUCACUCACUCACACCAUACUCCUUUUCUACAUCAACUACAUUCAAACAAAUCUCAUCCACCUUCUUGAAAAAUUGUGUGGACCAACAAAAAGAAUAACUAUUCAUUUUAUUUAUGAUUCUUAAAAAGGUGUUGGAAUAGCUACAUGAUCUUUUAACUUUUCUAGACGUGUCACACUCUAAAACUGU